CCGCCCGUCACAUCACGAAAGUGGAUUGUACUAGAAGUCUGCGCGCCGACCGCAAGGGGGCAGCGGCCCAAGGUAUGAUUCAUGAUUGGGGUG
rnacentral:rRNA from 1 species